ensembl:lncRNA
UGAAGUCUAUUAUAUAAGACAGAAGAAAUGUGUUUCUGAUCUGAUAAUAACACAUCAGAUUAACCACAGCAGAAGAUACACCUGCCAGUUUGUUAUAAACAAUGAAGUGAAGAUUUCUGCUGACUACACACUUGUGUCUACAGGUAGGACGACCAAUCAAAUCUCACCUUUAACAUGUAAACACUGUCUUUAUAUGUUCUUCAUUGUUUUCAGCUCCAGUUUAUUUAACGUCUGAUUCGACUCCAAACAAGAUCAUCUUCAUCCUCAACAUUGCAAAGAUUUGCCUGCUGAUCAUCCUGGUUGUUAUUGUUACUACUGUUCAGAUUAAAUACAGGAGGAGGACUGGAGCAGCAGAAGAUGCUCAAGAUCAAGAUUGUGUUCCUGAUGAGCAGGACAGCAGAGUGAUCUGUGAUAAUGUAGAGAAUCACCAAGGCCCUGCCCAGCACCACGGUCAGAAAAAAAGAGGAGGAAGAGGAAGAAGAAGUGAUGUCUUCAACAGUCAAAGAAGCAGUGAAGAAGAUGUGUGUGAGGAGAGGACAGAGGAAUUUUACACCAGCUUUAACUGUACAUGAAAAGAAGCUGUAGCAGUAACACGCCUCCACUGAUGUGUGUGCAUUUCAUAAGUGCUUUUUACGCAGUGACUCUUCUUUUUGUGGCUCAUUUUUUUACAGUUUGGUUUGGUGGAUCAGCUUUUUUCAAAGUGUAACAAUGUGGAAACAUCAAAGCGAUCAGCAGACGUCUCUGAUGUAGACUGGCAGUUGUCAGUCGAAACAUGUCAGGAGAUCAAAGUGGAUUUAUUAAAGAACAGUUGCUUUAAAAAAAAGAAACCAUAACAUAACAUUAUCAUCAGAAGUUUGAAAAGAACAUCAAGAUCUUUUGUCGACUGUCAAUGUUUAUUUUCAGGGCUUUUUCUUUGUCUAAUUACAACUUUAUUCUAAUAAUAUUAAAUAGUUUUUUCUCAUAAUAGAAUAAGUUUACUUUUGGAAUAUUAUGACUUAAUGACUGUUAAAAAUGUCUUAUACUAAUACAACUUUACUCUUAAAGUCUAAAAAACGAUGCUCACACAGAUACUCUUUCUUCAUUUCUGACCCAAGAUAAGGUGUAAAUAUGUCUCAAUGUACUUCCUAUUUUCAGCUUCUUUUUUCUCACUGACUUCCUCUUUUCUGUUUGUUCCAUUGCUUUCGUGCAGAGUGAGAGUCACAUUGUGAAAAAAAAAACAAAAAACACCACAAAUGAAGCCCUCAGUUUCUUUGCAGUUGUAGAUUAAAAUCUCACACAGCUCAGUUACAGUCAGUGUCUCAGGUACAACAUGUUUAAGCAGAGGUGAAAGUAAUGGAUUACAAGUACUCACAUUACUGUAAUUGAGUAGCUUUUAUGGGUACUUGUACUUUUUUGAGUAUAUUUCUAAAUAAGUAAUUUUACUUGUGCUUAAGUACAUUUAAAAGAAAUAAAGUAAUUCAUUACAUUUCUACA